rnacentral:rRNA from 1 species
GACGAAGGGGGCUAGCGUUGUUCGGAAUUACUGGGCGUAAAGGGCGCGUAGGCGGUCUUGUCAGUCAGGCGUGAAAGCCCUGGGCUCAACCUGGGAUGUGCGUUUGAUACUGCAAGGCUUGAGUGCAGGAGAGGAUGGUGGAAUUCCCAGUGUAGAGGUGAAAUUCGUAGAUAUUGGGAAGAACACCGGUGGCGAAGGCGGCCAUCUGGACUGCAACUGACGCUGAGGCGCGAAAGCGUGGGGAGCAAACAGG